rnacentral:rRNA from 1 species
AGCAGUAGCCACGGUAAUACGUAGGGUGCGAGCGUUAAUCGGAAUUACUGGGCGUAAAGCGUGCGUAGGUGGUGGUUUAAGUCCGUUGUGAAAGCCCUGGGCUCAACCUGGGAAUUGCAGUGGAUACUGGGUCACUAGAGUGUGGUAGAGGAUAGUGGAAUUUCCGGUGUAGCAGUGAAAUGCGUAGAGAUCGGAAGGAACAUCUGUGGCGAAGGCGACUAUCUGGGCCAACACUGACACUGAGGCACGAAAGCGUGGGGAGCAAACAGGAUUAGAUACCCGCGUAGUCCCUGUCUCUUAUAC